UACGAAGGGGGCUAGCGUUGCUCGGAAUCACUGGGCGUAAAGCGCACGUAGGCGGUCCACUAAGUCUCAUGUGAAAUCCCCCGGCUCAACCGGGGAAUUGCGCGAGAUACUGGUGGGCUAGAGAUCGGUAGGGGUGAGUGGAACUCCAGGUGGAGCGGUGAAAUGCGUAGAUAUCUGGAGGAACACCGGUGGCGAAAGCGGCUCACUGGACCGACACUGACGCUGAGGUGCGAAAGCUAGGGUAGCAAACGGG
rnacentral:rRNA from 1 species